GACGAACGCUGGCGGCGUGCUUAACACAUGCAAGUCGUACGGUAAGGCCCUUUCGGGGGUACACGAGUGGCGAACGGGUGAGUAACACGUGAGUAACCUGCCCACAACUUUGGGAUAACGCUAGGAAACUGGUGCUAAUACUGGAUAUGUGCUCCUGCUGCAUGGUGGGGGUUGGAAAGCUCCGGCGGUUGUGGAUGGACUCGCGGCCUAUCAGCUUGUUGGUGGGGUAGUGGCCUACCAAGGAGGCGACGGGUAGCCGGCCUGAGAGGGUGACCGGCCACAUUGGGACUGAGAUACGGCCCAGACUCCUACGGGAGGCAGCAGUGGGGAAUAUUGCACAAUGGGCGCAAGCCUGAUGCAGCAACGCCGCGUGCGGGAUGACGGCCUUCGGGUUGUAAACCGCUUUCAGCAGGGACGAAGCUUUUUGUGACGGUACCUGCAGAAGAAGCACCGGCUAACUACGUG
rnacentral:rRNA from 1 species